rnacentral:rRNA from 1 species
UACAGAGGUCCCAAGCGUUGUUCGGAUUCAUUGGGCGUAAAGGGUGCGUAGGUGGCGCCGUAAGUCGGGUGUGAAAUUUCGGAGCUUAACUCCGAAACUGCAUUCGAUACUGCGGUGCUUGAGGACUGGAGAGGAGACUGGAAUUCAUGGUGUAGCAGUGAAAUGCGUAGAGAUCAUGAGGAAGACCAGUGGCGAAGGCGGGUCUCUGGACAGUUCCUGACACUGAUGCACGAAGGCCAGGGGAGCAAACGGG